rnacentral:pre_miRNA from 1 species
AAUCUAGAGGAAGCAUCUCUGCACACACCAGACUAUUGAAACCAGCGUGUGGGAAUGCCUCUGCUACGUU